UCACUGCUGACGAGUCCAAAACAGGACGAAACAGCUGUCCAAUGC
rnacentral:hammerhead_ribozyme from 1 species